GCCUCCCUCUGAAUUACAAUACAGCCUCUCAGCUGCUCUAGGAGGAACGUAAGGACUUACCUAACCCAGGUGUGACCAAUCAACAUUUAAAAGCUCUCCCUCACACUAUGCUGCCCCUUGGAAGGGAGGUUUUUCCAGCCUGCCUUUCUGAGACCAAUUCUUCACGUUUGGCAGAGCCAGUCAUCUGCACCUUCGGCACCUUGCUUCCUAACCACCUGUUGUGUUUUCUGGUGGUCUAGCUGCAGUAAAAUCCAGGCUUUGCUGGCUUUUGUAUGGACUUCCUAGUGGGUUUCAAGAUCACUUCAGCAGUGGAGGACGGUAUUAUAUCCCAUUUUACAGAAGACGAAAGCAGGGUACAGGAAAGCAAAGCAUUUUCCCCCAAAGUCAUCUAUUAAGAAAGAGACAAAGCUGGAAUGACCAGGCUUGAGACCAUGAAGAAAUGCUAGAAAAUGUAACAUGAGCACGCCGAGAAAGAUUCUGCUGGCCUGUGAUAAAGCAGGCUGUUUGUGGUGGGUGCUACAGGUGCAACUCUCUCUUUUACAUCAAAUGCUGAAAGUAUUCUAGGGGCCUGGUUAACAAAGAAAACUGCUCAAACCAGCCCUCAUCUCUCAAAAUACUGGAUUAUAGUGAAAGGCAGAAAAGGGAAGUGAAUAAUCCAGCAGGGGAGACUUUCCUCAGCUUCUGGGAUGGCUUAGUCUCAUAAGCAACCACAGAAAAGGACUUCAGUAUUUUAAGUUACAUUUAUUGGCUUUUAAUGCUUAAGUGCCCAACUUAGUUCUCCUGAAAACUUUACUUUUGGUCUAAUAGAAAAAAAUGAUAGAAGGCUUAAUUCCAUUGUUUGCUUCUUAUUGAAUGUAGUUGCUCCAUUUAAUAGCCUGGACUGUUGCCAUCAUACUAUUAUAUACACAUGUGCACUCCUAGGCAGGAAAAACAAACAGUUACUGUACCAGUUCAAUCAGAUUAAAGGUUCCUCAUGUAAGAGCUGAAUACCAAAAAACAGAUUGGUGUGUUAGAUUUCUGUUGUGUCCUGUUUGAUUUUUACAUGUAUAAUAAACAUCACUUAAUUUUUCUACCCAACA